GAUGAAGAACGUAGCGAAAUGCGAUAAGUAAUGUGAAUUGCAGAAUUCAGUGAAUCAUCGAAUCUUUGAACGCACAUUGCGCCCGCCAGUAUUCUGGCGGGCAUGCCUGUUCGAGCGUCAUUACAACCCUCAGGCCCCCGGGCCUGGCGUUGGGGAUCGGCGGAAGCCCCCUGCGGGCACAACGCCGUCCCCCAAAUACAGUGGCGGUCCCGCCGCAGCUUCCAUUGCGUAGUAGCUAACACCUCGCAACUGGAGAGCGGCGCGGCCACGCCGUAAAACACCCAACUUCUGAAUGUUGACCCCGAAUCAGGUAGGAAUACCCGCUGAACUUAAGCAUAUCAAUAAGCGGAGGA
rnacentral:misc_RNA from 1 species